AGCGAACGCUGGCGGCAGGCUUAACACAUGCAAGUCGAGCGGGCACUUCGGUGUCAGCGGCAGACGGGUGAGUAACACGUGGGAACGUACCCUUCGGUUCGGAAUAACGCUGGGAAACUAGCGCUAAUACCGGAUACGCCCUUUUGGGGAAAGGUUUACUGCCGAAGGAUCGGCCCGCGUCUGAUUAGCUAGUUGGUGGGGUAAUGGCCUACCAAGGCGACGAUCAGUAGCUGGUCUGAGAGGAUGAUCAGCCACACUGGGACUGAGACACGGCCCAGACUCCUACGGGAGGCAGCAGUGGGGAAUAUUGGACAAUGGGCGCAAGCCUGAUCCAGCCAUGCCGCGUGAGUGAUGAAGGCCUUAGGGUUGUAAAGCUCUUUUGUCCGGGACGAUAAUGACGGUACCGGAAGAAUAAGCCCCGGCUAACUUCGUGC
rnacentral:rRNA from 1 species